ensembl:Y_RNA Y_RNA Y RNA
GCCUGGUCCAAGAGAAGUGGUGUUUACAACUAUUGAUCACAAUCAUUUACAGAUUUCUUUGUUUUUUUCUGCACUCCCACUGUUUCACUUGACUAGUCUUAA